rnacentral:lncRNA from 1 species
AUGGAUAAGAAUUUUAACGUGUUUGAUAAAAACGAUAAUAUACCAUGGGAACAUCAGGUAAGUGCAAAUAAAAAUGUUCAUAAAAUAAGUGAAAUAAAUACAAAUAAUAAGAGUGUGAAGAAUAUUAGUAUAAGUAAAAAAAACUCAGUAGUUUCCGAAGAAACUUCCAUUCAACCACCCAAAAUAUGGUCAAGAUUAAGUUCGAAAUCAAAAUAUGUGGUCAAUCAGACUGCACAAUGGAAUUGGUAUUAUGCAUUGGAGGAGCAGUAUUUCAACUGGCAGUAUUACAAAUUCCCUGUACCGCCUAACCACACAUUUGUUGGGUUCCCUAUACACUUUUCUACAAUUGAUGUUGCUGAAGUAAAAUCGUUUUUAAUAAGCUCAAAACGAUUCGAAAAUAUAAUGAAGCUUUCAAUAGAUAAAAUUUCUUAUUUUAUAUACUGUAAAGUUUAUCCCUUGAUUGGUGGAGUGAUGUCAAAUUGGGUAUUUUUAGGAUGUAUAGUACCUUGGAUGACUGCUCAAGAAAGGGAAUCUAAUAUGCAAAAAACCUCAAAAAAAAUUUUCAUUAGAAAUGACGGCACACUGCUUAACUAACAUUUGAAUGAUGUUGUUUUGUAUCUCAUUUACAAAUUCAUGAGUAAGGUUUUGACUAUGAGAACGAUAAAUAAUUCGAUAACAAACACUUGUUUGUUUUGUUUUUUCAUUAUAGUAAUGAUCUAUUUUUUUAACAAGUUCAAUGUUUUCACAAGCUAUAUCUCUACAUAUUUGAAAAAAAGUUGUUUCAUCAAAUUUAUUAUUAAGAUAAAAAGAUAUAUCUUUUAUUACUGGUGGAUAAUUACUAAACAAAGAAAAUUCAUUAAUUUCAUUUUCUUUGAAUUGGUUAAUAAAUCUUUCAUCUUGACUCCA